rnacentral:rRNA from 1 species
AAACUUUGCAAUGUGCGAAAGCACGACAAGGUUAAUCCGAGUGUUUCCUGCUAAAGGAAUCUUUUGUCAGUCAUAACACCACUGAUGAAUAAGGGGUGGGCAAGUUCUGGUGUCAGCCGCCGCGGUAAAACCAGCACCUCAAGUGGUCAGGAGGUUUAUUGGGCCUAAAGCAUCCGUAGCCUGCUUUGUAAGUUUUCGGUUAAAUCCAUAUGCUCAACAUAUGGGCUGCCGGGAAUACUGCAUAGCUAGGGAGUGGGAGAGGUAGACGGUACUCCAUAGGAAGGGGUAAAAUCCUUUGAUCUAUGGAAGACCACCAGUGGCGAAGGCGGUCUACCAGAACACGUUCGACGGUGAGGGAUGAAAGCUGGGGGAGCAAACCGG